rnacentral:rRNA from 1 species
CGGCCGCGUCGACCCGCGUCUGAUUAGCUUGUUGGGCGGGGUAACGGCCCACCAAGGCGACGAUCAGUAGCCGACCUGAGAGGGUGAUCGGCCACAUUGGAACUGAGACACGGCCCAGACUCCUACGGGAGGCAGCAGUAGGGAAUCUUCGGCAAUGGGGGCAACCCUGACCGAGCAACGCCGCGUGAGUGAAGAAGGUUUUCGGAUCGUAAAGCUCUGUUGUAAGUCAAGAACGGGUGUGAGAGUGGAAAGUUCACACUGUGACGGUAGCUUACCAGAAAGGGACGGCUAACUACGUGCCAGCAGCCGCGGUAAUACGUAGGUCCCGAGCGUUGUCCGGAUUUAUUGGGCGUAAAGCGAACGCAGGCGGUUUGAUAAGUCUGAAGUUAAAGGCUGUGGC